rnacentral:misc_RNA from 1 species
UCCUGGUUAACCCAGGCAGUCUCAUUAGAGUCCCCACCUCGCGUGUUGGCAACUAAUGAUAAGGGUUGCGCUCGUUGCGGGACUUAACCCAACACCUCACGGCACGAGCUGACGACAGCCAUGCAGCACCUAUAUAAAGGUCCUUGCGGAAAAUAUCAUCUCUGAUAUCGCCCUUUACAUUUCGAGCCUGGGUAAGGUUCUUCGCGUUGCAUCGAAUUAAACCACAUGCUCCACUGCUUGUGCGGGCCCCCGUCAAUUCUUUUGAGUUUCACCCUUGCGAGCGUACUCCCCAGGCGGUAUACUUAUCGCGUUAGCUUCGACACAAUCGGGGUUGAGCCCAACUACAUCAAGUAUACAUCGUUUACGGCAAGGACUAC